UCUAGGAAAUUCCUAUGGACUUCUAUGGAAGUAGGAUGUGCCCUCUCCUCACUGCCAACUCCCUGUCUGGCAGAGGUUUUCCCAGGAAGGGCCAUCUGCUGCGUGUAAUGAAAUCGUCUCUCUUAAAAGUCAAACUGUUCAGAGAUCAGACGCCCUAUGCUGAGGUCACACUCCAAAACACCACCUAAGCUGUCGCCGGCUUGCAGCUCCCAACAACCCGCACGAAUUCAGCCUCCUUUGUCUCCAGCUGGCCCCGGGCCAGCCUAUGCCAGAACGUCCACAAAGCGCUGGAGGGUGCACAGAACAAGAUCUGCACUUCAUUGAGAGCUAGAAUGAGUUUUCUUGACCCAGAACCAGAUGCAAAGAACAAAACUUUUGUUGUUUUCCUAAGUGGACUCGUGGCAGACUUCAGGGCAGAAUGAGCAAAAUGGGAAACAUUUUGCACAAUACAAGAGUCCCCCCAGUGAGGCUGAGUCUGGUUUGAUUUAAUCAGGUUCUGACUCUCAAAAAUCAUUCAUUUAUUGCUUGAGAAAUUGCUUCAGAAAAGCAGUUUUAUCUCCGCUUGAGAAAUCCCUCCGACGCUUGCCUCACACAGAAACAACAUGGAUAUUAAGAACGUAGUUAAGUCCCAGGCAACUUUUUCCUGCCUGAGGGAUUUGUCAGAGGAUGGCGGUGACCUGCUUCAUUUCAACGGGGCAGUUGAUGUCACCACGGGGAGCGCAGAGGAGUCCUGCAGCAGACAUGUGCCUCCCCGCCCCACAGAUGCGACCACUUGUCACACAGGCAGCUGUUGCCUUAGCACACAAGAGUCUGGAGCUCUUCUGUCUCUGGCAGAUGUCCAGGCAUGUAAAACGACUGGGCCGGGCAGAUCUCUAACCGCCAAUUCCCAGCUCAGUGAGCUGGGAGACACUUCCGUGGGUAAUCACACCAGUUUUGGAAAAGGUGACUCUGAAAAUCCUGCUGCUGUUCUGGAGAUUUAUGCAGAGAAAGUAACAAGUGUAAGUGAUGAUUUUUCUGAUGAUGACCUGGAGUACUUUGAAUGUUCAGAUGUGCUUACAGUGCACGAAGAUGAAAUCUGGAGAAAGAAAUUACAAUUUUUAUUAGAAAGUGAUGAUGAAGAUGAUCUAAAACUGGGUAAGGACUGUGAUGGGUGUGCUUACUUCCUCAGUGAAAUGCCUCGUGUGUUCCAAGUGUCAGAUAACACUACGCCUGUGGAUACCCCCAUUGGCUUCCGUGAGCAUCAGUCAAAAAUCGAAGGAGUAAACGUAAGGAGAGACCCCUCUAUGAGCCAGUCAGCUCUGCAGACAGAGAUGACUCUCACUGUUGGACACCACCAAGAUAAAAGUACCAUUUUGAAAGACAAAGAGAAAAAUCAAGUGCCUGUUGCUGCUGCAGCCACUGGAAAUGAGCACCCGAGAAGUGAAGAAGAGACUGAUGGAAGUGACCAUCUGGCUGCAGGCUCCUCAAGGGAUGAGCCAAAGCCCACGGACACUGUCCCUGCCCAGGCAGACUCCUCUGCCUGUGGCAUAGGUGCUGCUUGCACAGAUGAGGCUUCGGGGACAGUGACAGAAACCAGCCCUGAUGGGGACGUGCCGGGGGAAAGCUCACUGCUGCUGGAGGAGGGGAGGAGGGCUGUGCCGGAGGGAAAUGCACGGCACGCUGUCUGUACCUUAACAGAGAGUCUGAGGAGAAACCUUUUCAAGCUGUUCAACCCUCUAGAACUCUGCAGAUAUGUAAGUGCUAUAGGACAGUCUUUCCAGGCUGCAGCAGAGGGCAGGGAGUCCAGAGCUCCGUCUCCCAGUCUGGAAGGUGCCCAUUCCACACAGACCCCUGAGGAGACAGAAAGCAGGCAAAUGCAGGCUGGUCCGUGUCCAGCAGAGGAGGCAGAUACAGACAGUCACCGGGAAGGGAAAAGCACUCGGGGCCUGGCUGAGCCAAACCAGAUGCCAGAUGAAAACAUCUCCUUUGGGAGUCAAGGUGCUAAUCUUAAAAGCGUUACCCAGAAUUGUGAGAACCUCUGUGUGGAGCCCAGAACAGAAAAGGAAGGGACCUUCACGGCUUGUGAGAGUUCAGGAACCAGCCAGCUCUCCACUGAAAAGAUGCUGCAAGUAAAGAAUGCAGAUUUACAGACCUCUUCUCUUCAGUGUGCUCCUUGUGAAAAGAGAGAAAGCUGUCACCAACAGCUCUUCCCUGGACAAGAAAUGAUUAGUAAUGGCAAAAAGUCAAAGAAUGACAUUUCCCCUUCUCCUCUAUGGGAUAUGGACUCUGCUCCUGAUAAACAGGAACGCUUGUGUGCUGUUUUCUCUUCUGCAAAGCUGUGUGAUGAGCCAGGGGAGGGAGAGCAAAUGUCUAGGCUUGACAUACCUGACAGCAGUAACCCAGAUAUUCUCUGCAACCGAUCAGCCAACCAGGCUGUGUCUGAAGCUAAUCCCAAAUCAGUCCUGGAAUCCCGAGAGCCCGAGUGCAAAGGAGAUGCUGAUAUAUCUGCAGUGCGUGACAAGCUGUGGAAACUUCUUCAUGGAGAUGACUCAGACUAUCAAAUCCCAUUUGAAAGCAGAGUCAUCCCAAGUUUAGGUACAAAGCUGACAGAUAUCAAAGUUCCAGAGCUGAACUUUGCGCAGGAGAUCUGUUCCGAUCAUCCUUUGCCAAUGGAUUUGACAGAAGAGCAGGAGCCCAUCACAGAACCAGCCCAUAACCCCAGAACUGAGAAAGAUUUCUGCAAGGUUUCUGAUAUCCACCUGCAGAGAGCUGCAGCACAGGAGAGUGUAUCCGUAGGAAACACUUGUCUUGCACAAGUGGUAGGUACAGAUGGUGUCUGUCCAGAUUCUGGCACUGGGAAUGAGAGGGAAAUGCCACCCAUUUGUGUUUCAGCAAACAAUGUCCUCUCAAGUACCCAGGAGUGCUUGGAGCCAAAUCCAAUGGCCACAGACAGGAAUGGAUCCACUGCGACCUGGGAAGGGAAGCUCGCUGUUAAUAAUGUUGCCCAAACAUGUGAAGCAGAUUCUCUUCAAAGGUUACAAAAUGCUCAGAGUGGUAAUUUAGCAUGUCCCGGAGCAAAUCCAGCUGACAUAUCAGAUAUGUCGCAUGGGACAGUUGGACAGUUACUUCAUCCUGAAUACAACAUAGCCAUGAUAGAUGAGUCUGUACCUGGAGAAGGCCGUCAUUUUAAGAGUUGUUAUCCAGUGAGAGAAGAACUGGCUUGUUUCCUUGAAGAGGAAGACAUUAUCCCCAGUGAAAAUACCAAUCAGUUUACACAUGCAGAGCAAUCUUCUGUUAACGCCGCACAUAAAAAUUAUGAAGUGAAUUUACGAGAAAAAGGAGAUAAUUCAGGCUUGAAUGCACCAAAUGACACCAAUUCUGACAGCUACCAUCUUUCAGAAAACAGUGGCUGUCAGGAUUUUCAAAUUGUUUCUAAUGCACAGAAAUACGGUUAUGUAAUGCAAUCGCCUGCUUUAAUUCAGAUUCACAAAACCGUAAAACAUAAGAAUCUACCCCAAAAUACAAGCCAACUGACAGAAAUAGCAGAACAAGGAGGUGCAGUCCCUCCCACUUCUGGGGGGCCAUUUCUAAGAGAUUUUUAUCUGGAAGUGCCCAGCUGUGAACCUUAUAAACCGGGAGGAGACCAGAGAGAGAUUUGCAUACCUGAGGAGCACAGGCCUGAAACUUCCUGUGACUCAGGAGUCAGUCAGGCUUUAGAGAGUCAGACUUCCCCUUAUAAUACAGCAGAACAGCAUUCAUUUAUUGCUGACAGCACCUUCAAGUCCGACGAAGAGUUAAAAAUGGAUUCUUCAGAAAAUCCCACCUUUGCUGCUAGAAGUGUAACAUCAGCCAGUCAGCACCUUCAAGUCCGACGAAGAGUUAAAAACGGAUUCUUCAGAAAAUCCCACCUAUGCUGCUAG
rnacentral:lncRNA from 12 species